AACGCAUAUUGCACUCUUUGGUAUUCCGAAGAGUAUGCUUGUUUCAGUAUCAUGAAAAUCUCACAAUUCUUAAUUUUUUUUGAGAAUUAGUGGACUUGGGUUUGCGACUUUUUACAAGUUGCUAACCUGAAAUGAAUUUCAUGAAGCUCAAAUGCUUUAAAUCUUUGCUUAAUAGUUUUGCUUUGUCAAAUCUUUUGCAUUGAACUUGAAGCGAAAAAGUGAAUUGAUUUUACGAAAAAUUAAAAUCUCAUUUUUUGAUCUGAAAUCAAGUAGGACUACCCGCUGAACUUAA
rnacentral:misc_RNA from 1 species